rnacentral:rRNA from 1 species
UACGGAGGGUGCGAGCGUUAUCCGGAUUUAUUGGGUUUAAAGGGUGCGCAGGCGGCGAGUUAAGUCAGCGGUAAAAUUUCGGGGCUCAACCCCGACAAGCCGUUGAAACUGGCUUGCUAGAGUGGGCGAGAAGUAUGCGGAAUGCGUGGUGUAGCGGUGAAAUGCAUAGAUAUCACGCAGAACUCCGAUUGCGAAAGCAGCAUACCGGCGCCCAACUGACGCUCAGGCACGAAAGCGUGGGUAUCGAACAGG